AGCGGCGGACGGGUGAGUAACGCGUGGGUAACCUGCCUCAUACAGGGGGAUAACAGUUGGAAACGGCUGCUAAUACCGCAUAAGCGCACAGUACCGCAUGGUACCGUGUGAAAAACUCCGGUGGUAUGAGAUGGACCCGCGUCUGAUUAGCUAGUUGGUGGGGUAACGGCCUACCAAGCCGACGAUCAGUAGCCGACCUGAGAGGGUGACCGGCCACAUUGGGACUGAGACACGGCCCAA
rnacentral:rRNA from 1 species